rnacentral:tRNA from 1 species
ACCUGUCUGGCUCAGUUGGUAGAGCAUGGGACUCUUGAUCUCAGGGUCAUAACUUCAAGCCCCAUGUUGGGUG